AAACUUUCGACGAAGUAACAUUUCUCCUUUGACAGAGAAAUAGGAGAGCGCAAACAAAAUUGGCGUAUCUGAAUCCGAUAAGGAGAAAGCACAGGGAGAGAGAGUUUCUUUGGCUUAUCAAUGGCGGCCUCGAUAUUUGGAACAGAGAAAGACAGGGUGAACUGUCCGUUUUACUUCAAGAGCCUAGCUUGUAGACACGUUGACCGAUGCUCUCGUCUCCACACCAAACCAAGCAUCAGCCGUACUCUUCUCUUAUCAAACAUGUACCGGCGUCGUGAUAUGAUCACUCCUGCGGUUGAUGCACUGGGUAACACCAUCGAUCCUCGCAAAAUCCAGCAAUACUUCGAGGAUCUUUAUGAGGAGCUAAGCAAAUACGGAGAAAUUAGAGCUUGAAUGUCUGUGACAAUCUUGCUGAGCAUAUGGUGACAAUUAGUAUUCCAUAUUUAUUUUACGUGUCUGCAUAGGUGGGUAAUGUUUAUGUUCGGUUUAGAGAGCACGAGCGCUCUUCCAAAGCACUUAAGGAUUUGACAGUGAGAUUUUUUCCUGGGCGUCUGAUUAUUGCGGGUUUCUCCCCGGUGACAGACUUCUGUUAAGCUACCUGUAGGCAAUAUGAGGAGAACGUAUGUAAUCGUGGUGGGUAUUGCAAGAAAAAGAAAUGGCAGGGAGUUGAGACGUUAAUUGUUUGGGGCAUGAAGACCUAUAGGCAUGUAGCCAUGAAGAGUGUUCGCAUGGCGGGCGAGGUUCUAGUCGAAGAUAUGAUGAUCGGGAGGAGUAUCAUGAAAGUCGGAGCAGGAGGCAUAAGAGUAUAAACCCUGGACAUUGGAGAGGACAGAGAAGGCGUAAACGAAGCCCAGUUAGGGAACGUAGUGAGGAGAGACAAGCUAAAAUUGCACAAUGGAACCAGGUAAGGGAACAGCAUGAAAAUGCUGCUAAUAAGGUAAAACGUUGACAAUGGUAACAAGGACAGUAAGCAAAUGAUCAUGAAUAUCAGCAGCAGAUACCACUGCAGUUAGGAGAAUUUGGAUACUGAUCUACUUUUGAUGUCUGGUUCGUUUUCUCUCUACUCUAAUCAUUUUUCAUUUUCCAGUUGCUCAGUUAGGAUGCUCAUUUUCAGCGAAUGUCGUGUUUUUAGUGUUGCAUGUAUUACAGUUGGGGACUCUGGCCAAAGCACAUCAGGCUAGUGCAUCAUCAAAUUUCACAGUUCUAAAUUGGGUUUUGCUUCUUAAACUCUCUAUGUUUUUUUUUUAACAUUGAGAAAUAAAUAGAGGUCUGUACAUUUUAAUGAGUUUUGCAGGUUCAGGUAUCCUGCUUCUUCGAGACAAUUAUUUUAACUGCAGCUUACCAUGAAAUUUGUGUACAGGUUGUUGGGCGCAGUGUCAGAGGAUCUGUCAGACUACAGUUCAAAAUCAUCCAGAAGCAGAAUGAUUGUUCAUAAGGUCAUUUAGCACUAGUGAUACGUCUUGUUGCAGGUUAGGAGUCGCAGUUGCGUUCAUCUGUCUCGUUGGGGCCGCUGUACUUGCCUGCGCUGACCAUGUUGUUGUUAGACGUUCGAUAUUUUGACACGUGUAGUUUGUGCAAGAAUUGGAAAAACGAAAUCCAUUCUAGCAAUUUAAAAUUUUAAUUUGUGUGGAUACUGCUG